rnacentral:rRNA from 1 species
GUUUGAUCCUGGCUCAGAACGAACGCUGGCGGCGUGGCUAAGACAUGCAAGUCGUACGGGACUGGCCGUGGGCAACUGCGGUCGGUUCAGUGGCGGACGGGAGAGUAAUGCAUGGGUAACGUAUCCUUGACACGGGAAUAACAGCGGACCGCAAGGUUCUUUAGCGAAAGUGCUGCUAAUGCCCGAUGAAGUCGCCGGGUCGCAUGGCCUGGCGUCCAAAGGGCGGGGACCGGGUAACCGGCCUGCCGGUCUUGGAGCGGCCCAUGUCCUAUCAGCUAGUUGGUGAGGUAAUGGCUCACCAAGGCUACGACGGGUAGCGGGCGUGAGAGCGUGGCCCGCCUCAUCGGGACUGAGACACUGCCCGGACACCUACGGGUGGCUGCAGUAACGAAUCUUGGGCAAUGGGCGCAAGCCUGACCCAGCAAUGCCGCGUGCAGGAGGAAGUCCUUCGGGAUGUAAACUGCUGUCAGGGUUUCGCAAGCAAAGCGGGUGAAUAAUCCGCCGCGUUGAGCAGACCCAAAGGAAGCCUCGGCUAACUCUGUGCCAGCAGCCGCGGUAAGACAGAGGAGGCUAGCGUUGUUCGGAAUCAUUGGGCUUAAAGCGGGUGUAGGCGGCUGCGCAAGUGUCUUGUGAAAGCCCCCGGCUCAACCGGGGAAUUGCUGGGCAAACUGCGUAGCUUGAGGUCGGUAGGGGUGCCUGGAACUCUAGGUGGAGCGGUGAAAUGCGUAGAUAUCUAGAGGAACGCCAGAGGCGAAAGCGGGGCACUGGGCCGAUUCUGACGCUGAGAUCCGAAAGCGUGGGGAGCGAACGGGAUUAGAUACCCCGGUAGUCCACGCCGUAAACGAUGUCUACUAGGUUGUGGCGGUUCUGACGCCGGCACAGCCGAAGCUAAAGUGUUAAGUAGACCGCCUGGGGAGUACGGUCGCAAGGCUAAAACUCAAAGGAAUUGACGGGGGCUCA